CCUACGGGAGGCAGCAGUGAGGAAUAUUGGUCAAUGGACGCAAGUCUGAACCAGCCAUGCCGCGUGCAGGAAGACGGCUCUAUGAGUUGUAAACUGCUUUUGUACGAGGGUAAACGCAGAUACGCGUAUCUGUCUGAAAGUAUCUUACGAAUAAGGAUCGGCUAAAUCCGUGCCAGCAGCCGCGGUAAUACGGAGGAUUCAAGCGUUAUCCGGAUUUAUUGGGUUUAACGGGUGCGUAGGCGGUCGGAUAAGUUAGAGGUGAAAUCCCGGGGCUCAACUUCGGAAUUGCCUCUGAUACUGUUCGGCUAGAGAGUAGUUGCGGUAGGCGGAAUGUAUGGUGUAGCGGGGAAAUGCUUAGAGAUCAUACAGAACACCGAUUGCGAAGGCAGCUUACCAAGCUACUUCUGACGUUGAGGCACGAAAGCGUGGGGAGCAAACAGGAUUAGAUACCCCAGUAGUC
rnacentral:rRNA from 1 species